rnacentral:rRNA from 1 species
CUGACACAGGGAGGUAGUGACAAGAAAUAACAAUACAGGGCUUAAAGUCUUGUAAUUGGAAUGAUGGGAAUCUAAACCCUUCCCAGAGUAUCAAUUGGAGGGCAAGUCUGGUGCCAGCAGCCGCGGUAAUUCCAGCUCCAAUAGCGUAUAUUAAAGUUGUUGCAGUUAAGAAGCUCGUAGUUGAAUUUCUGCCUUGUCAUUAAAUUCGCUUCCGAGCGUUUUUUUAUUGACUUGGCAUCUUCUGGAUUUGGUUCCCUUCGGGGUUCUAUUUUCCGGGAUUUACUUUGAGAAAACUAGAGUGUUUCAAACAGGCAUUUGCCUUGAAUACUACAGCAUGGAAUAAUGAAGUAGGACUUUGGUUCUAUUUUGUUGGUUAUUGAGCCAGAGUAAUGGUUAAUAGGAGCAGUUGGGGG